rnacentral:misc_RNA from 1 species
AUUAUGAUGACGACAGAGAAUCUUUAUGCAUGUUUGUUGGCUGUAGAACCAAAAAAAAUACAUUAUCAUGCUAAAUACAAGAGAACCGCUAAUCCGAAAAAAUAAUGGACAAGACGUAAAUCAUGGCUAUGUUGACUUACGGCCACAGGGUGACGGCGACUUGAAAAUUGUGGUAUCACCUCUAGAAAUGAUUACAAUCAUAAGAUCAUGUAAUAAGGAAUUAUUCAACGAAAAAAUAAUGUAUAAUAUGGAAUUAUCUGAUUACGAAUUACUCAUCGAUGGCACAUUCAUAAAGGCAACAAAUUAUUGAAUUAUUAUGCAUUAAUAGAAAUAAAUUUGUAAAUUUCAACCUCUAGACGGCCAGUAAGAAAAAAAGAAAAUUGAAAGCAGCUGUAAAAGCUUUGGAAAAAUGUUUUAGCAUUCUUCUAAGAAGAAAAAGUAACACUUUAUUAUUACAACCAAUUAUAAAUUCUUACUUUGUUUCAUUUAGGUAAGAAGAAGUUUUGGUUUUUUUUGAAUAGCCAAAAUGUUGAUAAUAUAGUGGUUGAAUGGAAAUGUAAAGCGAAGUUGUACACUUACUUCUUAAAACAAUUAAUUAAAAACGAUAUGAAACAAACACACUCUCAUACAAUAGAUUUUGACUAUACUAAAAAGAGAAAUAUAGAAAAAGAAAUUCUUGGAAAAGGAGGAUUUGGAGUUGUUUAUAAAGCCAGCAAGAAUAACCGUCAAUAUUUUGCUAUAAAAAAGCAGGAAAUAGCACUUCAGACAUUAGAUUCUACAGUACUAAAAACGGUAUUUUAAGUGAAUUUGUAAGGAAAUUUAUAAUAUGGAUCAAUUAUUAGUCUUUCAGAGAAAUGUCUGUGCUAGCUAAACUUCAUCAUCCUAAUAUUGUUAGAUAUUACACGUCGUGGGUUGAAAUUGAAGAACAAGAUAAGAAUUGUCUAUCAUUCUACUCGUCAAGUGUCAAUUCGAGUAAAUCAUUGAAAGAAAUCGAAAUGAACAAAAGGUUGAGUCGUCUUCCCCGCCUGUACGCUUAUAUUCAAACCGAACUAUGUUUGGCGAAUCUAGAACAUUGGUUGUUUAGCAUUCGUAAAAUUGGGACCAUUUAUGACUUUUCUACAGAAAUAGAUAUGAUGCACAACUUAUUAUCCGCUCUUGAAUAUAUGCAUUCGCAGGAGGUAUUACACAGAGACAUCAAACCUUCAAAUAUUUUGGUGAUAAAAGAGAAUAACAAGUUCAUGGCUAAGGUAGGCGAUUUUGGACUAUCAAGAUUAAUUCACGAUGUUCAAACUGAAGAUACUAAAUUUACAUCUAAUAUUGGAACACUAAUAUUCCGAGCGCCAGAGGCAAAAGGGUCAACAUAUUCUUAUCCAUCUGAUAUUUAUAGCCUUGGAAGAGUAUUUCAACUAAUGCUUAGCAAGUGUAAAACUCUUCAGGAUUUUAUAGAAAGAUUAAACAAUACUAAUAAUGGUUUAUUACUACAUAGCAAUGAUCUCCAGCCUGAUGAAUUCACUUUAUUUUCUUAUUACGUCAAAAUUAUGACUUUACCUGAUUCUAAGAUGAGACGCAUUCCUCCUCAUCAGCUUGUUAAGAAAUCUCCAUCAUUAAACCUUAAAACAAUCGAAGAAGAUAGUAUAAAUACUAAAUCAGAAUUGCCGUAUUCGUUCAAUAGGAAAAGUGUUCAUCCAUGCAGUAUUCUUUCAGUCUGCUCCAAGUCUUUAAAAUUUUCAAAGAAUCAUAGAAACGCAUAUCAGGAGGUAACUAUUAACGGUCCAAUCUACAUAAUUAAGGUCGUGGGAAAGACUCGAAAAGAAAAGAGAAUCUUUGCUAGUGAACUCCUUCAAAAUCUUUAUGAGUUUUCUUAUAGAAAUUUUCAGAAAUGUCUGGCGGAAGGAUUUCCUUGGGAUUCCGUCUUUGAUAAUUCAAAACUUGAUAAAAAAAAACAAGCAUUGAUUAAUCAACUUGUUGUAAGUGAACAGAUCAAGCCUUUUAAAAAAAAUUUUUUUAAAGGUAGUUUCACAAUUAGCGCAAUUGUACAUCAAAGUAAAACUAGAUUAGUUGCAAAGGUUCAAAAGAAUCUGGACAAAGGGAUUUUUAUUGUAGACGCUAAGAAAAUUAAAUUUGUAGACAUUAGUAAACGUAAUUAUUUGCAAACAAUAAAAAACGUUUAUAGUCUACUUCAAUUUAAACAUUCAAAUGUGCUGAGAUAUUUCCAAAUAUGGCUAGAGAGCAGUCCUAGAACAAAAGAGCCAAUAUUACAAAUAUACGUUCAAAUGGAAUAUAUUUGUUUAAAUUUAGAGAACUGGCUAGAGGACAAAAAAAAUGAGGAUAUAGAGCGUGAACUCUUUGACGAUAUAGUUUCUGGUUUGAACUACGUCUACAAGCACUUUAAAGUUCAUGGAAAUAUUAGAACAACUAAUAUUUUUAUUUCUACAAACGACUUCAGACAGAUAGCUAAGAUUGGACAAAUUUCUAUUCUACCUUACAUGUCAUCUUUGGACAAAUUUCAGGACUUGACAGAUUUAAAAAGCAUAGGGAAGUCUCUAUUAGAUUCCUUCGAGAAAAAGUGUAUUGAUCAUUGUAUGGUGUCGGUGCAUCGCAGGCAUUCAUCAUAUCCCUUCGAGAAAAAGAGUAUUAAUCAUUAUAUGGUAUCGGAGUUUCGCGAGUUUCGCCUUAAGAUUUCAAGAGCUACUCUUAAUGAGGCAGAAAAUAAGAUCGUGUUCUGAUUCGAUGGUUCGACAACAUGUUAACCGUGUUCAAUACAGUCACAGAUGUUUGGUCCUAAAUUUUUUUAUUUAAGUAUUUAUAACUCUUUAUUUAUACACUGUAUAUACUGUAUAAAGAAUAAUGAUGUCGGCUUUUAUAAGAUUGUUUUCUUAUAUCCCAUUAUCUUCAUCUAAACUUUUCCUACCUGAGCGUUCAGUACUCUGUACAAACUGUAUCUACUAAUCAUUUACCUUGUUUAUAUAACGAAAAGUAACGCCCAUAUUUAAUUACGAUACACUAUUGAAUAGAAAAAAAACGUAAUAACAUAUAAUCAGAGAGGAAAAGAGAGAUAUUUCAUUUCAUCAAUCACUCUUUCAAUCCCAAUUGAUACGGGUAAGAGAAUUCAAGAAAAAAGUUGAGAACUAUGGAAGUCUUAAUAAUACAAAGGAUAAUAAAUUAUCUAAUAAUAAUUGAAUUAAAAAUGUAAUAUUUAUUUAAACUAAAAGAUAAUAUAAGUGUAACAUUUAACGCCCAAAAUUAAUUAAUCUCUUACAAAACGAAGCUAAUGAUAUAAGAUACAAAAACGAAAUGAAUGAAAAACUUGUGCAUUAUCCUAUUGAUGUUUUUCACUAACUAAAUGUAAUAAAGUAAGAUAUUCUUUAUUUGAAAUAAUAAAAAUUAAUUGUUACUUAGUCCUUAUUACAUCAUCUAUGAAAUGGCAAACUCAUCCUAUUUAAGAGACUACUUGAAUUUUAAAUCAGAAACAAAAUAUUUCACAAUAAGUUAUACAACUUGUGCGUCUUUGAUUGUAUUGUUAGGUAUAUUUGGAAAUAUAAUGAUAUAUAUAAUCAGCAGUAGAAAGAGCUUUAGGACAACAACUUUAUCCGUAUAUAUGAGGUUUUUGGCAAUAUUUGACUGCUUUUCACUUUUUGCUCUAUAUAGUCUCAUCUUUUCUACGUCUUUGUCUGGUUUUAUCAAUCUCAGUCUAAAUGCGAGGAAAAUAUAUACCUGCGCAAUCACUUACUUUGCCUAUCCAGUUGCAUUUUCUGGAAGUGGAUGGUUGAUGUUGAUCAUGACUAUUGAUAGAAGUAUGUUUAUCUUCUUUCCACUCAAAGCAUCUACAAUAUGUACAAAGAGGAAGGCGUUUGUGGCUUGUUCACUAUCAGUUCUAAUUCUAGUAUUAAUCUUUUCCUUUACUAUUUACGUUGGUGUGAAAGGAUCAAGUCGUUUUAUUCAUGAUGAAAACGACAAGUGGAAUAGUAUCUUUGUAUGCAUUCAAUCAAAUCCCCAAUAUACGACCUAUGCGACUAAAUUUCUCGCUCAUUUCCAAAAUAUAGCUGGAGGUUUAAUUCCGAGUAUUGGAAUUCUAUUCAUAAACUUUGCAAUGGUGUACGUGCUAUCAAAGAGAAAUCAAAUGAUAAGAGAAAUAACAAUGUCAACAACAAACGAUGAUGAAAAUUUAUCGGAAUUGACAAGAAUGUUGCUCUUUGUUUCAUUUUUCUUCCUAUUAACAACAGUACCGAAUUUCAUAAAAACAAUAGUAUUCACAGAAAUUGAAGCGUAUGGUCGAAACUAUCAAAAAUAUUUUAAAAUAAC